GUAUAUAUUAUAUAGGCACAACAUUCUAUUAACAUACAUUGGGGUAAAAUGAAGCAACAUAGACCCGAAAAGGUCUACAAAAAGUGCACAGGUGGAGAUAUAAAGAUGACAAGGUGUGCACAUGCUCCCUAGAGAACCAGCAACAACCCAUCAGGUUUAUUUCAAUAAUGAUCCUUCCGCAGGUUCACCUACGGAAA
rnacentral:misc_RNA from 1 species